rnacentral:rRNA from 1 species
UACGGGGGGGGUAAGCGUUGUUCGGAAUUACUGGGCGUAAAGGGCUCGUAGGCGGCCAACUAAGUCAGACGUGAAAUCCCUCGGCUUAACCGGGGAACUGCGUCUGAUACUGGAUGGCUUGAGAUUGGGAGAGGGAUGCGGAAUUCCAGGUGUAGCGGUGAAAUGCGUAGAUAUCUGGAGGAGCACCGGUGGCGAAGGCGGCAUCCUGGACCAACACUGACGCUGAGGAGCGAAAGCCAGGGGAGCAAACGGG